rnacentral:rRNA from 1 species
UAAGGAAUAUUGCUCAAUGGGAGAAAUCCUGAAGCAGCAACGCCGCGUGGAGGAUGAAGGGUCUAUGACUUGUAAACUCCUGUAAAGAAGGAAAAAAUUCCCAUUAGAUGGGAGAUGAUGGUACUUCUGGAGUAAGCCCCGGCUAACUACGUGCCAGCAGCCGCGGUAAUACGUAGGGGGCAAGCGUUGUCCGGAUUUACUGGGUGUAAAGGGUGCUCAGGCGGAUUUGUAAGUCAGAGGUGAAAUCUUACAGCUUAACUGUGAAACUGCCCUUGAUACUGCAAGCCUAGAGUAUGGAAGAGAGUGAUUGAAUAUCUGGUGUAGCAGUGAAAUGCGUAGAUAUCAGAUAGAACACCAAUGGCGAAGGCAGUCACUUGGUCCAUUACUGACGCUAAAGCACGAAAGCGUGGGUAGCAAACA